rnacentral:rRNA from 1 species
CUAUACAUGACUCUGCGCAUAUCAAUAAGCGGAGGAAAAGAAACUAACAAGGAUUCCCUUAGUAACGGCGAGUGAAGCGGGAAGAGCUCAAAUUUGAAAUCUUCAAGGUUCUACCUUGACGAAUUGUAGUUUAAAGAAGUGUUUUCUGUUGGAGUUUUGGUAAAAGUUCUUUGGAAUAGGACAUCAUAGAGGGUGAGAAUCCCGUAUUUGACCAUUAUUUCCUACUUUGUGAUACACUUUCAAAGAGUCGGAUUGUUUGGGAAUGCAGUCCAAAAUGGGUGGUAAAUUUCAUCUAAAGCUAAAUACUGGCGAGAGACCGAUAGCGAACAAGUACCGUGAGGGAAAGAUGAAAAGAACUUUGAAAAGAGAGUUAAACAGUACGUGAAAUUGUCAAAAGGGAAGCGUUUGACACCAGUGUUGUUUUCUCGAAAAUCAAUUAAAAAUGGCUUGAUUUUGUGUUGUAUUGACCUUAUCAGCUUUCUGCACUUUUUUCUUGUCUUUUUUAAUGCACUUUUCGUUUAACAAGUCAACAUCAAUUUCUUUUGCUGUAAAAGGGUCAUUGGAAGGUGGCUUUCUUUUCGGAGAAAGUGUUUAUAGCCUUUGGCCUCUGCAGUCGGAGAGAUUGAGGUCUGCAGCGUAGAUCCUUCGGGGUUAGAUACAUUUGUGCUAAGUUAUAGCCUUUCAUAGACAACUUGUUGACUAUGAUCAGUCAUGUAGCUUACUCGCUUAUGCUAUUUUACCUACGCUUAGGAUGUUGAUAUGCAUGACUGAUAUAGUCUAUACAUGACUCUGCGCAUAUCAAUAAGCGGAGGAAAAGCAUACAUUAUACCUACGCUUAGGAUGUUGAUAUGCAUGACUGAUAU